rnacentral:lncRNA from 1 species
UUCGCCCACGCCCCCCGCCAAGGCUAUAGCCCACCCGUUUUUGGGCCAUUUUUCCGCUGGGGGGUGCUGGCGCCCCGACCUUCGGGCGCUCAUUUUUGGGCGCGGCUGUGCCCGUGGCCUAUUUUUGGCACACGGAGGCCGCCCGCAUAGUCUGGGGCCAUUCCGAGUCCGGCGGACGAACUUCGCCCACGCCCCCCACCAAGGCUAUAGGCCACCCGUUUUUCGGCCAAUUUUCCGCUGGGGGGUGUUGGCGCCCCGACCUUCGGGCGCUCAUUUUUGGGCGCGGCUGUGUCCGUGGCCUAUUUUUGGCACACGGAGGCCGCCCGCAAAGUCUGGGGCCUUUCCGAGUCCGGCGGACGAACUUCGCCCACGCCCCCCACCAAGGCUAUAGGCCACCCGUAUUUCGGCCAAUUUUCCGCUGGGGGGUGUUGGCGCCCCGACCUUCAGGCGCCCAUUUUUCGGCGCGGCUGUGCCCGUGGCCUAUUUUUGGCACACGGAGGCCGCCCGCAAAGUCUGGGGCCAUUCCGAGUCCGGCGGACUAACUUCGCCCACGCCCCCCGCCAAGGCUAUAGCACACCCGUUUCUGGGCCAUUUUUCCGCUGGGGGGUGUUGGCGCCCCGACCUUCGGGCGCUCAUUUUUGGGCGCGGCUGUGCCCGUGGCCUAUUUUUGGCACACGGAGGCCGCCCGCAAAGUCUGGGGCCAUUCCGAGUCCGGCGGACGAACUUCGCCCACGCCCCCCGCCAAGGCUAUAGCACACCCGUUUCUGGGCCAUUUUUCUGCUGGGGGGUGUUGGCGCCCCGACCUUCGGGCGCUCAUUUUUGGGCGCGGCUGUGCCCGUGGCCUAUUUUUGGCACACGGACGCCGCCCGCAAAGUCUGGGGCCAUUCCGAGUCCGGCGGACGAACUUCGCCCACGCCCCCCGCCAAAGGCUAUAGCCCACCCGUUUUUUGGCCAUUUUCCGCUGGGGGGUGUGGAACCCNNNNNNNNNNNNNNNNNNNNNNNNNNNNNNNNNNNNNNNNNNNNNNNNNNNNNNNNNNNNNNNNNNNNNNNNNNNNNNNNNNNNNNNNNNNNNNNNNNNNNNNNNNNNNNNNNNNNNNNNNNNNNNNNNNNNNNNNNNNNNNNNNNNNNNNNNNNNNNNNNNNNNNNNNNNNNNNNNNNNNNNNNNNNNNNNNNNNNNNNNNNNNNNNNNNNNNNNNNNNNNNNNNNNNNNNNNNNNNNNNNNNNNNNNNNNNNNNNUCUGGGGCCAUUCUGAGUCCGGCGGACGAGCAUCGACCACGCCCCCCACGAAGGCUAUAGCCCACCCGUUUUUUGGCCAUUUUUCCGCUGGCGACUGUUGGCGCCCCGACCUUCGGGCGCUCAUUUUUGGGCGCGGCUGUGCCCGUGGCCUAUUUUGGGCACACGGAGGUCGCCCGCAAAGUCUGGGGCAUUCCGAGUCCGGUGGACGAACUUCGCCCACGCCCCGCCAAGGCUAUAGCACACCCGUUUCUCGGCCAAUUUUCCGCUGGGGGGUGUUGGCGCCCCGACCUUAGGGCGCUCAUUUUUGGGCGCGGCUGAGCCCGUUGCCUAUUUUUGGCGCACGGAGGCCGCCCAUAAAGUCUGGGGCCAUUCCGGGUCCGGCGGACGAACUUCGCCCACGCCCCCCACCAAGGCUAUAGCCCACACGUUUUUUGGCCAUUUUUCCGCUGGGGGGUGUUGGCGCCCCGACCUUCGGUUACUCAUUUUUGGGCGCGGCUGUGCCCGUGGCCUAUUUUUGGCACACUGAGGCAGCCCGCAAAGUUUGGGGCCAUUCUGAGUCCGGCGGACGAGCAUCGACCACGCCCCCCACGAAGGCUAUAGCCCACCCGUUUUUUGGCCAUUUUUCCGCUGGCGACUGUUGGCGCCCCGACCUUCGGGCGCUCAUUUUUGGGCGCGGCUGUGCCCGUGGCCUAUUUUGGGCACACGGAGGUCGCCCGCAAAGUCUGGGGCCAUUCCGAGUCCGGCGGACGAACUUCCCCCACGCCCCGCCAAGGCUAUAGCACACCCGUUUCUCGGCCAAUUUUCCGCUGGGGGGUGUUGGCGCCCCGACCUUCGGGCGCUCAUUUUUGGGCGCGGCUGUGCUCGUGGCCUAUUUUUGGCACACGGAGGCCGCCCGCAAAGUCUGGGGCCUUUCCGAGUCCGGCGGACGAACUUCGCCCACGCCCCCCGCCAAGGCUAUAGGCCACCCGUAUUUCGGCCAAUUUUCCGCUGGGGGGUGUUGGCGCCCAGACCUUAGGGCGCUCAUUUUUGGGCGCGGCUGUGCCCGUUGCCUAUUUUUGGCGCACGGAGGCUGCCCAUAAAGUCUGGGGCCAUUCCGGGUCCGGCGGACGAACUUCGCCCACGCCCCCCGCCAAGGCUAUAGCCCACCCGUUUUUUGGCCAUUUUUCCGCUGGGGGGUGUUGGCGCCCCGACCUUCGGGCGCUCAUUUUUAGGCGCGGCUGUGCCCGUGGCCUAUUUUUGGCACACGGAGGCCGCCCGCAAAGUCUGGGGCCAUUCCGAGUCCGGCGGACGAACUUCGCCCACGCCCCCCGCCAAGGCUAUAGCCCACCCGUUUCUUGGCCAUUUUUCCGCUGGGGGGUGUUGGCGCCCCGACCUUCGGACGCUCAUUUUUGGGCGCGGCUGUGCCCGUGGCCUAUUUUUGGCACAUGGAGGCCGCCCGCAAAGUCUGGGGCCAUUCCGAGUCCGGCGGACAAACUUCGCCCACGCCCCCCACCAAGGCUAUAGCCCACACGUUUUUUGGCCAUUUUUCCGCUGGGGGGUGUUGGCGCCCCGACCUUCGGACGCUCAUUUUUGGGCGCGGCUGUGCCCGUGGCUUAUUUUUGGCGCACGGAGGCCGCCCGCAAAGUCUGGGUCCAUUCCGAGUCCGGCGGACGAGCAUCGCCCACGCCCCCCACGAAGGCUAUAGCCCACCCGUUUUUUGGCCAUUUUUCCGCUUGGGGGUGCUGGCGCCCCGACCUUCGGGCGCUCAUUUUUGGGCGCGGCUGUGCCCGUGGCCUAUUUUGGGCACACGGAGGUCGCCCGCAAAGUCUGGGGCCAUUCCGAGUCCGGCGGACGAACUUCGCCCACGCCCCCCGCCAAGGCUAUAGCCCACCCGUUUCUGGGCCAUUUUUCCGCUGGGGGGUGUUGGCGCCCCGACCUUCGGGCGCUCAUUUUUUGGCGCGGCUGUGCCCGUGGCCUAUUUUUGGCGCACGGAGGCCGCCCGCAAAGUCUGGGGCCAUUCCGAGUCCGGCGGACGAACUUCGCCCACGCCCCCCACCAAGGCUAUGGCCCACACGUUUUUUGGCAAUUUUUCCGCUGGGGGGUGUUGGCGCCCCGACCUUCGGUUGCUCAUUUUUGGGCGCGGCUGUGCCCGUGGCCUAUUUUUGGCACACGGAGGCAGCCCGCAAAGUUUGGGGCCAUUCCGAGUCCGGCAGACGAGCAUCGCCCACGCCCCCCACGAAGGCUAUAGCCCACCCGUUUUUUGGCCAUUUUUCCGCUGGCGACUGUUGGCGCCCCGACCUUCGGGCGCUCAUUUUUGGGCGCGGCUGUGCCCGUGGCCUAUUUUGGGCACACGGAGGUCGCCCGCAAAGUCUGGGGCCAUUCCGAGUCCGGCGGACGAACUUCGCCCACGCCCCCCGCCAAGGCUAUAGCACACCCGUUUCUCGGCCAAUUUUCCUCUGGGGGGUGUUGGCGCCCCGACCUUCGGGAACUCAUUUUUGGGCGCGGCUGUGCCCGUGGCCUAUUUUUGGCACACGGAGGCCGCCCGCAAAGUCUGGGGCCAUUCCGAGUCCGGCGGACGAACUUCGCCCACGCCCCCCACCAAGGCUAUAGGCCACCCGUAUUUCGGCCAAUUUUCCGCUGGGGGGUGUUGGCGCCCCGACCUUAGGGCCCUCAUUUUUGGGCGCGGCUGUGCCCGUUGCCUAUUUUUGGCGCACGGAGGCCGCCCAUAAAGUCUGGGGCCAUUCCGAGUCCGGCGGACGAACUUCGCCCACGCCCCCCGCCAAGGCUAUAGCACACCCGUUUCUGGGCCAUUUUUCUGCUGGGGGGUGUUGGCGCCCCGACCUUCGGGCGCUCAUUUUUGGGCGCGGCUGUGCCCGUGGCCUAUUUUUGGCACACGGAGGCCGCCCGCAAAGUCUGGGGCCAUUCCGAGUCAGGCGGACGAACUUCGCCCACGCCCCCCUCCAAGGCUAUAGCCCACCCGUUUUUUGGCCAUUUUUCCGCUGGGGGGUGUUGGCGCCCCGACCUUCGGGCGCUCGUUUUUGGGCGCGGCUGCACCCGUGGCCUAUUUUUGGCACAUGGAGGCCGCCCGCAAAGUCUGGGGCCAUUCCGAGUCCGGCGGACGAACUUCGCCCACGCCCCCCACCAAGGCUAUAGCCCACACGUUUUUUGGCCAAUUUUCCGCUGGGGGGUGUUGGAACCCGACGUUCGGGAGCUCAUUUUUGGGCGCGGCUAAGCCCGUGGCCUAUUUCUGGCACACGGAGGCCGCCCGUAAAGUCUGGGGCCAUUCCGAGUCCGGCGGACGAACUUCGCCCACGCCCCCCACCAUGGCUAUAGGCCACCCGUUUUUCGGCCAAUUUUCCGCUGGGGGGUGUUGGCGCCCCGACCUUCGGGCGCUCAUUUUUCGGCGCGGCUGUGCCCGUGGCCUAUUUUUGGGACACGGAGGCCGCCCGCAAAGUCUGGGGCCAUUCCGUGUCCGGCGGACGAACUUCACCCACGCCCCCCGCCAAGGCUAUAGCACACCCGUUUCUGGGCCAUUUUUCCGCUGGGGGGUGUUGGCGCCCCGACCUUCGGGCGCCCAUUUUUGGGCGCGGCUGUGCCCGUGGCCUAUUUCUGACACACGGAGGCCGCCCGCAAAGUCUGGGGCCAUUCCGAGUCCGGCGGACGAACUUCGCCCACGCCCCCCGCCAAGGCUAUAGCACACCCAUUUCUUGGCCAUUUUUCCGCUGGGGGGUGUUGGCGCCCCGACCUUCGGGCGCUCAUUUUUGGGCGCGGCUGUGCCCGUGGCCUAUUUUUGGCACACGUAGGCCGCCCGCAAAGUCUGGGGCCAUUCCGAGUCCGGCGGACGAACUUCGCCCACGCCCCCCGCCAAGGCUAUAGCACACCCGUUUCUUGGCCAUUUUUCCGCUGGGGGGUGCUAGCGCCCCGACCUUCGGGCGCUCAUUUUUGGGCGCGGCUGUGCCCGUGCCUUAUUUUGGGCACACGAAGGCCGUCCGCAAAGUCUGGGGCCAUUCCGAGUCCGGCGGACGAAAUUCGCCCACGCCCCCCGCCAAGGCUAUAGCCCACCCGUUUUUUGGCCAUUUUUCCGCUGGGGGGUGUUGGCGUCCCGACCUUAGGGCGCUCAUUUUUGGGCGCGGCUGUGCCCGUGGCCUAUUUUUGGCACACGGAGGCCGCCCAUAAAGUCUGGGGCCAUUCCGAGUCCGGCGGACGAACUUCGCCCACGCCCCCCGCCAAGGCUAUAGCACACCCAUUUCUUGGCCAUUUUUCCGCUGGGGGGUGUUGGCGCCCCGACCUUCGGGCGCUCAUUUUUGGGCGCGGCUGUGCCCGUGGCCUAUUUUUGGCACACGUAGGCCGCCCGCAAAGUCUGGGGCCAUUCCGAGUCCGGCGGACGAACUUCGCCCACGCCCCCCGCCAAGGCUAUAGCACACCCGUUUUUUGGCCAUUUUUCCGCUGGGGGGUGUUGGCGGCCCGACCUUCGGGCGCUCAUUUUUGGGCGCGGCUGUGCCCGUGGCCUAUUUUUGGCACACGGAGGCCGCCCGCAAAGUCUGGGGCCAUUCUGAGUCCGGCGGACGAACUUCGUCCACGCCCCCCACCAAGGCUAUAGCCCACACGUUUUUUGGCCAAUUUUCCGCUGGGGGGUGUUGGAACCCGACCUUCGGGAGCUCAUUUUAGGGCGCGGCUGUGCCCGUGGCCUAUUUUUGGCACACGGAGGCCGCCCGCAAAGUCUGGGGCCUUUCCGAGUCUGGCGGACGAACUUCGCCCACGCCCCCUGCAAAGGCUAUAGCCCACCCAUUUUUUGGCCAAUUUUCCGCUGGGGGGUGUUGGAACCCGACCUUGGGGAGCUCAUUUUUGGGCGCGGCUGUGCCCGUGGCCUAUUUUUUGGCACACGAACGUCGUCCGCAAAGUCUGGGGCCAUUCCGAGUCCGGCGGACGAACUUCGCCCACGCCCCCCGCCAAGGCUAUAGCCCACCCGUUUUUUGGCCAUUUUUCCGCUGGGGGGUGUUGGCGCCCCGACCUUAGGGCGCUCAUUUUUGGGCGCGGCUGUGCCCGUGGCCUAUUUUUGGCACACGGAGGCCGCCCAUAAAGUCUGGGGCCAUUCCGAGUCCGGCGGACGAACUUCGCCCACGCCCCCCGCCAAGGCUAUAGCACACCCAUUUCUUGGCCAUUUUUCCGCUGGGGGGUGUUGGCGCCCCGACCUUCGGGCGCUCAUUUUUGGGCGCGGCUGUGCCCGUGGCCUAUUUUUGGCACACGUAGGCCGCCCGCAAAGUCUGGGGCCAUUCCGAGUCCGGCGGACGAACUUCGCCCACGCCCCCCGCCAAGGCUAUAGCACACCCGUUUUUU